UGCUGAAGAACUACUGAGAGAUUUCAGCUGCUGUCUGGGCUUUCCAUGUUUUUCUACAACUCCCUUUCUUCAUGUGUUCAAUACUUUUCCCCUGCAUCAUUUCAUUUUACAUCAUUUGUAAAUUAACUAGUUUUGAUGUCUUUGCAUAUAUGGAUUUCUUUAGUUGUUACCAACCUACAGGGAAAAUUUCAAGUCAACAGCACCUUUAGAAAUGUGUAUUCUGAAAAAAAAAUAGUGACGUGUUCACUUCUUAUUUUCCCCACACCUCAUCUGUGUUGAUUUGAUUUCAGAAUGCCUCUGCACUAAGUAACUAAGUGCUGAUGUUCCUCGUGCUCAUUCAUAAACUGACAUCAGCUGCUGAUUUAUUUGUGUCUUGUUGACAUACAAUCCUUCAUAUUUAAUGAACAAUCUACUGUGAAUUUUCAUUAUAGCUACAUUUGUAGUCUAGAGAGAUGAAUGGGGUUGUAAAUUUCGAAGGCAGCCAAAGUUUCAGUGUCAAAGCUUGUGGUUUAGAAAAGGUAAACAGUACAUAACUGAACAUUUGUACAUUUAUCAAUCAUACAAUAACGUCUUCUAUGAAUGAUAUCUUCUAUGAAUGACGUCUUCUAAGCCUAAUAUAUAACAUUUUAAUGGAUUUUACGGUGGAAGGCAAUGAAAAGAUUUCAUUGAUGUGUCAUAUCAGUCAGCCGGCAACAUUAAUAGCGCUUUUAAAUGAUUCAAUAAUGCCUUAUUCACUAUGAUUGUGUAUUUCCAGCUCUGGAAAAUCAGUCAAUAAAAGUGAUACGUGUGUGUAUUCGGCUGCUUUAUUUGAAACCAUCUAAGUGAAUGAUGAAAACAUCAGCAAAACAUCUAUUUUCCUUACACGUCAAGCACGUGCUUUUUCUGUUUCAGAUCUCAAUGUCAGAUCUUCAUGCAUGGAGUGUGUUUUGCUCACCUACGCCGAGUGUGUGUGAAGUGUGUCAAGUGAACGAGAGGACUUGUUUCAAGUGUUUCGAGUCAAUGGAAGUUGAACCCCAAGUGACAAGUGGUGAAAUCAAUAGACAAAAGUCAAUAAGCAACACUAAAGCUGCCGGUAGAAAGCAAAGGAUGCCGAUAAUUGUUAUUAAUCCUGUGCGUUUCCCUGAGCGCCGGGUUUUAAGGCCAGAUCUAGCCAAACAGGCGCAACGAACACAAUGGUGCCCUGGAGCUACACACAAUGUCAACCUGAAUCUUAAAGCGAAGCAGAGGAUGUCUGGUCUAAAACGAACAGGCUUCAGGACCCAAAGCAUCCCAGAGCUCAUCUGUGAGGCCAGUCUGAACACUCACCAGUAACCUACUCACACCUUCAGCUUCUCCAUGAUGGACGUCUAGUGUUCUACAGCCUCCGGAGCCUAGACUGCAGCUCUGCACAAGAAGGUUGGCCAGAGGAGAAAUGGCCGUGCCCAACUGAGCCGUCUCUCUAGGUUUCUUCACUUUGUCAAUUGGUGAAGUUUGUUCCUCACCACUGUCGCCACUGGCUUGCUUGAAUUGAGACUUGUGAAGCUGAACAUCAAUGAAUUUGCUCUUAAGUGUUUGGACUUGCAGUGAAUUUAAACCACACUGAACUGAACCUCAACUCUGAAAACUAGACUGACACAGUUUCAAUUUACUAUAAUCUUCUAUGUUAAGCUGCUUUGACACAAUCUACAUUAUAAACACGCUAUAGAAAUGAAGAUGAAUUGAAUACAAACAGCAUGUAGGAAAAUUUUCUCCAAGAAAAUAAAAACUUGUCAUCCUGGAUUGAUCAAUUCUA